GUUUCUCUUCUGCAGACUUCAUUUUCUGAGUCUCAAGAAACACAUCCCAACCACCAGAACCAGCUCCAACAACAGCCCAGCCACAAGCUCUUUUCACAACCACCCACUUCUUUCAUCUAAUGAUAUGAAGUGCUUGGUCAGCUCUGACUGUUCUAGAGAACUGAAGCAAGGGUUGGAUAUAAAUUGAUCCACGGAAUGGAACACCUCUCCUAUAAGGACAGGCUGAGAGAGCUGGGGCUCUUCAGCCUAGAGAAGAGAAGGCUGCGAUGUGAUGUGGUUAAUGCCCCUUCUCUGGAGAUUUUCAAGGGAAAUAUUCCUCACCAUCAGAGUUGUCAGAACUUAACAGCAUGUGGGACAUGCCAGCUACUGAAGAUAAAAGAAUUGAUUAAGGGAGAAAAAACAAUGGGCUCAUGAAGUAUGGCUGUUUGUCCUAUUUCCAACUUGCUGAGAUGGAGAAUAACAAAGCUCUUAAACCACCUACUAAUAAAGCAGCAUUUUUAAUUACAAUAUGUUUCUAAUAUUUACACAUAUGAAUUUUAUGUUCUCAAGGAACAACAAUGUCUUGUCAAACUGCACACUAAAUGUUGUUUAUAACUAUUGGAUAAACUUUGCCAUUACAGAUUUAUCAG